ensembl:lncRNA
UCCUGUUAUAACUUAAUAGUAGCAGUGGAAGUAAGGUUUUAAUACCGUAGACAAGUUGUAUGUACUGUAUGUGAGGAAGUGAAGCGCGAACACAAAUUCUUGUGUUGCAAAAUGCACUGGCUAGACAGCUAAUAUUCAAUCCACAUUGGCGAAUAUUGGCUGUGAAGUGGUGGAAAUGGUCAACUUUAAAGCAGUCAAAAACCUCAAGCCUAAAGAAUAUAUACAGUACUGUGCAGAAGUUUUAGGCAUCCAAUUUAUUUUAGUACAAACUUUGUUAUAGAUUUUUACUUUAUCACUUAUACUUUAUCGAGUCAGUACAAAAACAUUUUAGAUUUCUAAAUAUUAGCUUUCUAGCACAAAAUUAAAUGUUACAGAAAAAUGUUUGUAUGUCAGUAAAGAAAGCAGCAUAUUACAUAAGAUACCACUUUUCAGAUUAAAGAAAAAAAAAAAAAAAGCAAUGAAGGCUGUUGGGUUUUGCUGCAAAAAUAAGAAGCAAGUCAAAGUCUCCAGAAGAACUGUGGCUAGUUCUGCAAGAUGCUCAGAAAAACUUACCAGCUAGUUUCCUUAUAAAACUGCACUAAAUGUUUUAUAAGGAAAUUAGCUGGUAAAACGGUCGUCAGACCAGAUAUGGACUUUGUUUCAUUUAUUACUGUAGAAACAUUUCAUUUAACUAUUUUUGAAGGUAUCUUUGCUCCACAGCAUUUCUUUGUAUGUGACUGUUGCACAGUAUAGUAUAUGCAGGAAAUUAACAAAGAAAUAAUUGUGUCAAUUGUGAAGUUCUUAUUAAAUGAAAACUACUCUCAGAAUAAGUAUCUACAGUCAUGGAAACAAGAAAGUAAACCCUCCUUCAAUUCUAAAUUUUUAUUUUUUCAGGGCUAAAGAAAACUUGUAUAAUCCUCACCAACUUCUAUAAACAAACAAAUAACCUCAGGUGACAAAAAAAAAAAGAUACACACAACAGAAUUCAAUAUGUAAAAAAAAAAACUAAAAAACAACAACAACAAAAAAAAAACUUGCAGAAACCAGGUGGGAAAAAAUAAGUACACCCUUCCUAUUAAAAGAGUAAUUAGCAGCCAGGUGUUCCUAUAGAAAUGCACAAGAUUAGUCGAUCAUCAAGAAGUGUGAUUACCUCUAUAAAAGUAGAACAUGUUUUGUGUUCUGGAACACUCAGGUAUAUGUCUCAGAGAAGCAACUGUUGCUGCCCAUCAAUCUGGGAAGGGUUAUAAGGUCAUCUCCCAAUAAUUUGAAAUUCACCAAUUCUACUAUGAGAAGGAUUGUUUACAAAUGAAGAGUCUUCAAGACAGUUGCCUGUCUCCCCAGGAGUGGGCAUCCCAGCAAAUUCAGUCCAAGAGCAACAUCAUGUGAUCUACAGGCCUCUACAAGCAUAUUAAAUGUUUAUGUUCAUGACCGCACAAUCAGAAUAAGACUGAACAAAAAUGUCUUACAUAAAAGGAUGGCUAGGAAAAAGCACUUCUCUCUCACUCGCUCUUUAACUGAACAAACCAUAACAGUUCUGGAACAAGUUAUUUGAACUGAUGGGACCAAGAUCUGGGAAACCUACAGUCAUUGAGAUAACAAUGAACUCCGCUGUAUACCACAAUAUUCUUGUGAGGCUAUUCGUCCAGCAGCUUAAACUAGGCUGAAAUUGGGUUAUGCAACAGGACACUGCAACAGGAAAACACCAGCAAAUAGACAUCUGAAAGGCUAAAGAAGAAAAAAAAUCAAGGUGUGGGAAAGUCAAAGUCCUCAACCCCAUUGAGAUGCUGUGAUGGGAUAAUGAGUCUUUAUUAGUCACAUAUACAUUACAGCAUAGUGAAAUUCUUUUUUUUCACAGAUCCCAGCAUGUUAGGAAGCUGGGGUCAAAGCUGGUGCAGAGAGGGUUAAGGCCCUUGCUCAAGGGCCCAACUGGGGCAGCUUGGCAGUGCUGGGGCUUGAACCCCUUCUAAUCAGUAACCCAGUGCCUUAACCGUCAAGCCACCACUGCCCCAGGAGCUUAAGAGAGUUGUGAAUAAACAUGCCUUCAAACAUCAAUGAACUAAAACAAUGUUGUAAAGUAUAGUGGGGAAAAACUUCUCCAAAAUGGUGUGAGAGACCAAUAAAAUCAACUGGCUGCCAUUUACUACAUCAAACCAAAUAUAUAAUCAGCUGAACUUACCAUUUCUCCACCUAAUUUGCUUCCAUAUUUUUGCACAACCCCAUUAAAUACAUAUGUAUGCAGAGGGAAAGUACAUUUUGCGUAUUGUUUUAAACUGCAUUUCGGCUCAUAGUCAGCUUUGUACACAAGGUAUUUUUGCAGAGAAUUCAGUGUAAUUGAACCUAAAAGCUGGGACAAACCGCUUAGUACAGGGAACAAAUCACAUUUACUGAUUUAUCCACUAUUUGUUGUCUUUUGGCCUUUAUGGAUGCCCAGAUACAAUUACUAACUUAAAUGUGAGUGGUUCCUUUGUUGGCAUUAUUAUGUUGGCAUUAUUUGAGAUAGUUCUAAUUGCAGAUCCAAAUGUCAAGGAGGUGGAGUUGGAUCUAAUUAAACUCCACCUAUAAACCUAACCCUAAUCCUAACUCCUAACUCACACAAUGCUGCACAACACGAAACAACACACUAACAAACAACCAACCUGAAACACACUCCCCUCCCUAGAUUUUGGCUUGACUCCACCCAGUUCCACCUAAGUAGGAAGAAGUAUAUCAGUAUACCUGUGGACUUUUGUUCUUCAGCCCUUACUUGCAAUAUUUGGUGCUGUUUCCCAUUCUCAGGGGUGCAUACAUGAUAAUUAACCCAUAUAGCCUAGGGUUUUGCAAUGCAAAAAUCAACAGAAGGUGGAUUCUGAAUGCAGACUCAGAUAAAAAUAAAAAUCAUAUUUAUAAAUAAACCACAAAAAUGUAUUAGUAUUUAGAAAUAAACCACAAAUGAAGUAGGGUUGCCAUGUCCAAAAGGCACUAUGAAACAAAUCACAGAAAAAUUAUGGCCAGUAUACUGGGCAGCUAUGGACAAACCAGCUAAAUGAGCUAAUUCAGGGCAGUAUUGGUUCAGUGGUUAAGGUGGGUUAUUGCUCAGAAGGUUGGGGGUUCAAGUCCUCGCACUGCCAAGCUUUCAGGGUUGGGCCAAGCUGCCUCUGUUGGGCCCUUGAGCAAGGCCCUUAACCCUCUCCACUCCAGUAUCAUGUAUCAUGGCUAACUCUGCGCUCUGAUCCAAGCUUCCCAACAAGCUGGUAUAUGCAAAAAAAUAAAUGUCUUCUUCGAAUUGCAGCUCUCAAAAAGCAAGAGUCUGAUUUCAGUUAUAGUCCAGAGAUGCUGCUGCUGUGAUGCCUACUGAAUAUCAAGAAGAGGUUAUAGAACAAUUUAUUUGUACUGUUUAUUGUUAUAAAAUUACAGCACUACACUGUAUUAAUAACCCAAACUUUCUAUCAUAAACUAAUGAAUCAGCCAGUCACUGAUAUCAAUUGGAAUAAACCUUAUAAAAUCAGUAAGGCACAUAUUAUGAAUGAGAAUUGAUUGGUGUGGCCCCUUUAUUCUGGUCCUCAACCUCAAAUGAGUUUGCCACUUUGACUUAGUACAUCAAGUCUGGGUUGAAUUUUAAAGCAUUUCAUUAACAGUAUCAUUAACACAAUGAAUGUUCAAUUAACUCUCACAGUGCUAAACAAAACCAAUUUCUAUAAUUGAGUUUUUAAUCAUUAACACCUACAGUGUUGACUUAAGCUUUCAGAGUGUUGUAUUAAGUUGGAUGGACACAGAACAUUCUGUGUCAUUUUCCUUACAUAUGACAGGUGCUGAGGAACAGCUGAGAGUGCUGGCUUAUUGAGCAUCCCAUGUGUAUCCAAGUUAAAUCAAAAAGUUAGACCAAACCAAAACAGCAAUCCAAAGAACAAAACAGGCAUAAGUCAAGAGAAAAAUCAGUCAGAUAAAUAAGUAUCUGUGCAUUAUUUUAAUGGAUGCACAAGAAGCACUGAUAAUUAAACUAUAGUCCUAAAUUAAUAAUAAAAACUCACUUUCACUGCACCUUGUGGUUUCUGUUACUCAUGUCCUUUAGGCAUAUUAUUUUACUUGUGUUUACUUUGAUCAUACUGUUUUAAUUAGACAUUGCAGAUCUUACUUGCACUCCCACUGUGUAUCACCGCAUCUACACCGUGAGUGAGGUGCAACACAGCCUCAUUACUAACAGAUCACUUCCGUUAUAAUAAACUACAGAAUUUAGUAAAUACAAUAUAUAAUGAAAAUAAACUGGAAUUAAUCUAAAUCUUUUAAGCAAUUUGCACCAGUUUCCCCAACCCCUUGAACAGAGGAGCAUUUUGGAUAUAAACAUGUUUGUGCUCGUGCAUCACUGUCGUGCUUCCGUGCUACACAAGCUCUACUUUUUACAAAGUUUACAGGUUACUGUCAUCUUCAUGGUGUUUAACGUAAAAUGCCCCCUGCCUUAUGCCACUGUCUGAUGGUAACGAAGGUCAUGUUCGGUAUAAAAGGUAACGUUGACAUAAACAGUAAACAAGAAAUUUGUUUUCAUUUACUUAUAGGGAAACGGCUUAUACUUCCAGUUAGUAAAAAAAAAAAACCCUCUAGUGUUCCAUUUGAGAUGAUAUUACCUUUCUAAAAUUCAUACACUAGAAGGUAGAGUACACAGUGCAUAGUGUACAUGUAUAGUACGUCACUUAGGACACAACUUUAGUAUUUACUCUCCAAUGCAUGCCAUAGAUAUAGAAAACAGCCAUAGAUAUAGAAAACCUAUAAAACCUCACCCUCUUGUUUGGGAUGAGUUUCCAAAUUGUCCACGUUGAGUUAAUGCAUCCAUGGAGCUUUUUAUGCAAAAUGUCAGCACUUUUAGGAUGACACACACACACACACACACACACACACACACACACACACACACACACACACUUGUAUUAUUGUAAUUAUGGGGUCCAAAUGUACUCACAGUAACAUGUCAAAAUGACUUGUAAGGUCAUUUCGUUGGUUGUCCUGUGUCCUUCAUACAUCAUUCACCCAAUAUAGUCUACUGUAAACUUAGAGAAAAUCUAAUAAAAAAUAACUGCUCCCACAGACACACAGACCUCAAGGGUGACUCUGACAUAAUGGUCCUUUAUAUGUUUUAAAGCUACAAUUGAGAACAAGGCUUAGAACAAGAUGUUGCAGUUUAAUUUCUACUAUGGACAGUGUGUCCAAUGUCUCUUUGUUCCAGCAAAUAAUUACACAAGACAUUUACAUAAGCUGCCAAAAGCCAUGAUACAGUACAUUUUGGACAUGAGGUUAAGUGCAUAACGCUGGACACUGCUCUAUACUCGAUGGUAGCAACCAUCUGUACAUAGUUGGCUGUUCUUGUUGAUACUCCAGGUCUGUUCUGUUACUGAUCAGUGAUAUGAUCAUGUGGCAUACAUAUCAUUUCUUUUUAGUGCAAAUUGUUAUUGUUUGAUUUGAGAUGUCACUGCCCUAUAAAAUAAAUAAAUAAAUAAAUAAACAGGUGCUAGAUAGUCAAUAUGGUGGAUAGUGUAAGAAAAUAGGGUCAUAUUCCGAGUUAAGUUCAAACUUCCAAACUGAAGUUCAAAAGUCAAUAUUUACACAGGAAAAUUCUCCUUAUUCUGUGUGAACCCAUUCAGAUCAUUAAAAGUACCUGCAUAAUUCAUUUACCAAAGAUCAACAGAUUUUUCUUGUUCUUGUAAACAUAUCGGAAUUUUUUUCCCAGGUGUGUCUAGACUAGGGAUGUCACAAGAACCGAUACUUCGGAACCAAGUCAGUACCAACAUUCUUAAAAUGUGACCGUACUUGUUUUUCUGCAGUAGCGUCGGUACUAUGCUAAUGAAGGUACCGAGGUUGCAAUUCUUCUGGAACUGAAGGGGGUAGCAAAUACGCGCAAGUGUUUUAGCCGGUCCACAAGUGGUAAAGAAGAACAACAACAACUACAAGCACACGUGAAACACUACAGAAGACGGCGACAAUUUUAGCUCUGCCCUGACUCAUUGAGAGGCAAAGAGAGGAAAGGUAGCAUCGGUUGCCGGUGUAUCAUUAAUUUCAAACAAAGCGAGGAAACACCUGGAAUUUGGCGAAGCACCUGAAACCCAGGCCCUAUAUUAUAUUUGUUUGAGGCAGCUCGCAUUGUGUUAUGCUCCAUGUAAUGUUUGUGAUAGCCAGUUAUUUGUUAACAACACUAACGCAUUGCGAUGUUAUAAACUACGUCCUAAUGGGCCACAAUGCAUCGCCAUUCAGCCCGUGUCCUGUCAGCUAAAUGUAGUCUAAUGUCACUGAUAAUUAUUUAAAUGGUAAUGCUUUUAGUAAAUCUUUUUGGCCUGCCACCAGAUCAGUGAAUUUAAACUAAUACUUGCAUUCAGAGUAUAAGUUUUUUUUUUUUGUGUGUGUGUGUGUGUGUGUGUGUGCACGCAUGCAUUUAGGAGUGCACCUUAGCACUUGCUAUUAGCACUUAGCCCUGUUGUAUUAGUCAUUGUCAGACAGUGUCUGAUAACUAAAAUAUCCCCCUCUCUGUCCCUUUUUUUAUUUUGAAUUUUUUUCAUACCACACCGUGGUAUCGACUUUGGUAUCGAGUAUCGUGUAUUUUUGGUGGUAUCAGUACCGUCUACUAGAUUUUUGGUAUUGUGACAUCCCUAGUCUAGACCACUGCUUUUGAAAAAAAGCACUUUCCUUUAAGCAUGAAAAAACUGGGGGAUAGAAAAUACAGACUGAUGAGACGUAAUUCUGUUUCUCCUUUGCUCUCAACUGCAAUAUGAUGUAACGUUUAAAGAAAGACACUGUAAAAGAAAUAUGAUGAUGCGCAAAGGCAAAAAAAUAAAAAUAAAAAUCUAAUAUGAGUCUAAUAUAUUUCCAAUUCAUUCAUCACUGCAAAAUUGUCUUUAUUUAACACUACGACUUUCAGACUCAUUAUUAGUCUAACAGUUUAUAAAAUAGCAACUGAUACGCAUAGCUUAUUUUGCGCAUGAUGAAAUAGCUGGAAAUAGCCUAUUACAUUGUACUGAAAGUGUGAUCCUUAAGCAGGGAUAAAAAUGCUGUAUGUGCUGUUUAGCGCUUCAGAAAGAAGGGGCUGGAUGAAAAUACCUUAUAUAUUUAAUUAUUUAUUAUGGACAUAAUUAAUUAUGCAUAUCAUUUAAUGUGGGCAUGAAAUGCUAAAUGAGGUCAUGAGAUCAUAAUGUGUGCAUGCAAUGUAAGCUAAUAAAUGAAUGCCUAGGUGUUGGUUAAUUUCAUGCUCUCUCCUGUAAAGAAAAAGUGCCCACAGUUUAAAGGAUAAGCUGACGAAGCAACAAUCUGCUCCAGUUACAGUUCACUUUAAGAAGUAAAGUGCACAGUGUGUGAAUUAAGACACAUGCUGUGUCAUUUCAGUAACUGACAAGUCAAAUUCCUUGUAAAUUAUACCAUGAAGGUUAGUGUGAUCAUUAGUUGUCCGUUCAAUGUCAUUCUCUAAUGUGCUAUUGGAUUUGCCUUCCUUUUGGAAAAAAUGCCUAUUGUGGGUAUUUUUAAGAACAGGACUCAAACACAACCUCUCUCUUUUUUCAUGCCUUUGUCUCUCAUGCGAUAUUUCUCUCUCUAUGUCUCUUCCCUAUCUGCACUUUUCCACAUUUCUUUCUUGAUCUUUAUAUUUCUUUUUCAGUCUAUCUCUGUCUAUUGCUGACUUAUUUGCCAUUUCUUUUUCAUCUUCUCCCAUUCUCUCCCUAUACCAUUUAUUCAAUGAGACAGACACUUCCAAGGGGCAAAAAAAGUAUUUUAAUAUAAAACACAAAUCCACUCAUCUUUUAGACAUUCGCUGCUAUUAGACAUUCAAAAAAAAUCAAUAAUGAACAAUUUCUAUGAAAGAAAAAUCUCCACAAAUAUUUUUUGCGCUUUUGGGUCUGCAGCAACAGUACCAUUGUAGGUGGCCUUGGACGUGUCUCAUUUUCCAGUGUGUCUCAGAUUUCAACUAUUUCUUACCCCUUUAUGUUACAUGCUCGGGCCUGCUUUACACACACUCCCUGGUGCGAGACACACUGCUGGAAAGAGAUGAAGGGAUCUGGGUGUAUUGAUGGAGCCACUCGUUAUGGUGGUAAGGACCCUUGUGUUUUAUGAUUGUGUGUGUGUGUACGUGUGUGUGUCCUAGGAGCCCACCCCUGAAGUGUGAGUCAGUGAGACGGUAUUACAGGUGGGAUAUGACAGGAAGAACAUGGAUCCUGGAAAAGAGGGAGGAUAAUAAACAAAACGUCUGACACACAAGGAGUUUUAGGGUAGGUAGAAUAGGGGCUGUGUUUCAAAAACAACUCAGACAUUUUAUUGCAGUGAAUCAAAUUGUCUUGUCUGCCCUGAUUCUGUCCCGACUGACCUACCAAGCUCUAUAAACCAUCUACCAUACCUUUACUUUCCUUAUGUGAUCCUUAUCAUUUCUUAUUAUAAGCUCUGGGCGGCUGUGGAUCAGGUGGUAGAGUGGGUUGCCCACUAAUCGUAGGGUUGGUGGUUCAAUUCCCAGCACACAUGACUCCACAUGCCAAAGUGUCCUUGGGCAAGACACUGAACCCCAAGUUGCUCCCAAUGGCAAGCUAGCACCUAGCUUGCAUUGCUACCAUGAGUGUGUGUGUGUGUGUGUGUGUGUGUGUGUGAGAAUGGGUGAAUGAGACACAGUAUGAAGCACUUUGGAACUGCUAAGGUUAAAAUAACAGUGUGUAAGUGCAGACCACUUACCAUAAUAUUGCUAUGACUGUUUAUUACUUUUACUGUUUCCUUAUGACACAUGUCUUGUUUGUCUGUUUAUAAACCGUCUGUGUUUGCAAAGAAAGUUUGUGGGAAUAGAUCAAGGUUCAAAAGUCAUGACAGAAUGUUGAUAUUUCUCAAUAUGGCAGAAACCUUAAAAGUUUGUGGUUCAUAAUAAAUAUAAUCAAAUUGUAAUUAUAGUCAUGUGAAGCUGUUCUUAGCAAUUUAUUAACAAAUUAGAGGGAAAUGCUGACAUUUCUGAUGUAUUUUUCUUGUUUCCACUGUUUCUGUCAUUUCCCAUUGUCCAUAUAUCGAAAAACAGACAUGUUAUAGCUAGCAAGAUCAUUAUAAGCCUCAGUCAUUGGCUAACUUAUACUCAGUAUUUUCUGUUGUGUUAUCACAUCUUUAACCACUUGAACAGCAACCAUGUCGUGUGUUUGCCUUAACCUCCAGAUAAUGUAUCAUAUACACGACAAUAUUUUUUGUUAGAAACAGUCAAAUAGCACAUCGUAAUUAUCAGAGCAUAGUCACUCAGUAAAUGUAUCGAGAAUAGGCUUAGUGUCAUCAGUGGGUCAAGGAAAGAAAAAAAAACCCCUGAAAAACACUUCUAUACUGGAAAAUACUGGAAGCAUGUAACAUCAGGUAAUUCCAUGUGCAAGUCAUGUUUCUGAAAAACUUGGAAGCAUGCCAUUUCACAAAAAUUUUCACCAAUACGCCCUCAGCUCAUGCAAAUGUUAUCUUUUUUAAAUCUUCAUUUCAUAAUCCUAUCAUGCACACAGAGAUGCACAUACACAUACUCAAAUCAAAACAUACUCUGUGGCGUUUGAUGGAAAUAACGCUGAUGUGUAUUGGUUCAAACAGUUCUAGACAUAAGACAAAUGGACAUGUCCUCAGCCUGCAGGCCGAAUCUGAUAUUAUCAGCACUGCUCAUGCAUGGUUUAAUCUCCAUCAUACAAGAUCUCACUUAAACAUGUAAAAGCUGGGUGUGCACAUUACACAAUGAUCCAGAUGCCCACAGAUAGUACUACAAUGGGACAUAAGCAAAAUGGCUUGUCUGUUGGGUCACAUUUUGACCAAAAUAUUCCAAACCUCCAUUUUAUUUAAAAGAAGCUCUUUUUAAACAUCAGCUUCAGUUUCAGCUUAGGAUGAAUAUAAAAAUUUAUAUUCAUAAAACACAGCUGCCAUAAAUAUGUUUUGUCUUUAACAGAGACCAGUAUUACUACAUUUGAUCAAAACCAGCAUGAGCAUGUUUAAUCCAUGUGCUCUGUUCUAACAUUUGAUGUGUGUACAUGCAGGAGUUUACUUUUUGUUAAAAAAAAUUUAAAUUCUCAAAAAUAAAUAGCAUUUGCAUGACUUCAACUUAACAAUGAUUUUGCCAGCAUGUCAGCCAGUCUAGAGGUUAUUUUUCCAACACCUUAAUGCAUUAUGCUGUAGCUAUUCCCUGGUCCUCCUAUGCAACAUUUCCCCCCCGAGUAUUAGGCAUAUUUGUUUAAUUCAUAAAGCAUUUAUUAUGAUUAUUCUUUUUUUAAACAAUGAUAGGUGCACGACUGCAAGCCAGCUAUGCCCUGUGAACAAAUAACAAACUUGCACAGCACAAAAACAUCUCUUGAAAUGUAUUCAUGCAACAAACCUCAGCUGUAUAAUGAAACUGCAGGACUUUUCAUUGCCAAAUUCAGAGUUUUGCCUUUGUGUUUGAGAAAUAAUACAGCACUAUGGACAGUGGUGAUAUAGUACCAGUAGCUCAUAAGUGGUGCAAAGGAAAAUGCUUGGUUUCUAGCCAUCCCACAGCCAACAAUGGCCAGAAGUCCACAACAGGCCAUGCUUUCUCGGUGGGUAGGAUGUUGUUAAUCUCUUCCCUAUUGAUCAGAAUGACAAUGACCAAUCAUGCCCAUCUGUGUGCUCAUGUUAAGGUUGAUCAUUGUUCCUGUAUAUGAUCUCUGCCAGUUGGUUGUCUCUCAGUGUAUGCUGUUCUAUAUGCUGCAUUAUCUGGCUUGUUCUCUGCACUGAGUCUUAUGAUAUAAUACAUAUCUGCUUUGAUUGAGCUGGUGCUGAGUGCUUUUUUCUUGUGCUCCCAUGAUAAGUACCUUUGCAUGCACGGUCCUUUAGCUGUGUCCUUUCUAUCAACUGGUAGGAUUUUCCCAUUUGAGCCACCUCUACUAUAUAUUAAUGAUAAAAUCGCUGGAGGAGCUGAUUCAUCUUCAGCUUCGCUAACCACUUUAUCCAGGUCAGAGUAGCGUUGGAUCUGGAGCAUAUCACAGGAACAUUGAAUGCAACAUAGGGACACACCCCAUAUGGGAUGUCAGAGCUUUGCAGGGCAUCACACACAUUCAUACUUUAGAGAAAUUUAGAGUUAUCUAUUUUGUGAACAGAGGGAAAGUGGAGAACCCAGAGGAAACCCAUGCAGUCACUGGGAGAACAUGCACAGAAGCUGUGAAGCGGCAAUGCUAUCCACCGCUAUCCAUCAUCAUCAUCAUCCCUUAUUAUCUUACAGCAGAUGCUCUAUUUGCACCUGUCCUGAUAAAAUAGUGGAGUCAAUCUAAACACAAUCUGGCUCUUUGGACAAUAUAUUUAGUCAGUGAUUAUUUUAACUACAGUCGUUUGACAGGCUCAAACUGUUUGUGUUUCAUUAUUGUUGACUGAAGGCAGUAGUACGGAUAAUACAUACAAUGAGUGUUGCUCAUUAAUAGUUGACACUGUGUCUUAGGAGUGUACACACGUUACCAAAUGAAUGGAAUGAUGUAUUUUCCAGACUAUAAGUCAACCCAGAGUGUAAAAUGCACCAUCUAAAUUCUGUGUAAGUAUAAGUCACAUUAUUCAAUCCACGAUUUCAUUUUCCAUAUUGUUAGUACUAUUGUAUUGCAUUGUAUUGUAUUGUAUUUCCCACUAAUGUAAUUUAAUUUAGUGUAAUAUAGUUUAGUUGUCAAAGUUCAGCACUGUAUUGUCUCCUUUACUGAAGCCUUUGCUACAAGUAUGAUAUUAAUCUCUCUGUCAGGCCUGGAAAAUAUCUGUCCAUUUGUGGCCACUCCAUCGCAUGGAUGACAUCCAUGCUGAAUACAAAAUACUCAACUUGAUUAUGGAUAUCUAGUGGUCCCUAAUGGAUUUUAAUGUGUUUUUCCUAAUUGUUCAUGCUGGCUUAUUUAAUUUUAUUCUGAUGAUAAUCAUCUACCCAUGAUAGAGGACCCUGUUGGGUGAAUGUUGAUAUUUUAACUCUUCUGGUUGUGCUUUAUUACUUUCUUAAAUACUUGAUGCAUUAUUGAUGAAAUUAAUGUCUAAAUUGUUUAUUUACUAGUUUUUCAAAAGUCAGCAAAUUAUUAAAUAAGCAGAUUUCUUCAGAAAUAACUUUGUCCUGGGAGGGAAUACAGAGGGAAUACACCCUGGAUGGGACACCACUUCACACCCAUACACUCACGCAAACACACGUUUCUCUCUCUCUCACUCUGUCUCUCUGUCUCUCUCUCCCUCUCUUAAACACACCCACACACUCAAUUAACCAAUCCUCUUUUUUUUUUUUUACUGUUGGUGUUCAAGGGCUGCCCUCAAUUAUCUGUACUGUGAUUAUGUUCUCUGCAAAGAAAGGAGAAGAGCCUGGAGAUACAAUUUCAUUUUCACAGGCAUUUCAUGGCCUCAUUGCAGGCUCGAAGUGAGAUCUCAAUCUCGUUUGCAACAGGAAAUACGUUUUUGGCCCUCAUCAAUUUGCCGUUCACGCCUUGGAUAAAUGGAAUCAGACGUUCAAUAUGGCUACACAGGCUCUGUGGUGAUAUAAUACAUAUCAGGUCCUGGCAAUUAACGAUAAUCUUUACUGACUUCAUUUGUAUGGAUUACAACAUCUAUCACUGAGAUGGAGCGAGCCAUUAGCAUACAGCUUGGGUGAUUUGCAUGGCCAUGGUACACUCAGAUCUCCAGUGUGCAUGUGUGAGUACGUGUGCGUGCACAAAUAACCUUUGGUUGUUAUUGGCUAAGUCUAAAAUGUAUGGAGAAUAGUGUGCUGGUGUGUGUGUGUGUGUGUGUGUGUGUGUUGCUCGUACUUCCACAGUCUAGUGAUUACAUUUUCAUAUCACGAUAUUGGUCUUAUAUCACUAUUUAUUAUGAUAUUAUAUAUGCUGCCUUCCAAAUGGAACAGACUUAAUGUUGCCCACAAUUGCCUACCUAUACAGCCUUCUCCCAAAUGGAACUGAUGAAACUAUAAAACAAAUUGAAUUUCUCAAAGACCUCAUCACUAGGGACAAUAAUGAGUGAGCCAGUAUCAAGUGUUAGCUGUUAAAGCAAUAGUUUCGCUUAGUUUUUAAAAAAUUUCUUAACUUAAAUGUAGUUGAUCAGCCAAGACUGAAGAUUAAGACUAAUGUUUCUAAGAAGUAAGGAUAGUUUGUAGCCUCUACUUUAGCACUGUGUAAUCUGCAUGUCUAAAUAAUAACACAUUUACCUUAAACAAUACUGUUUGUCUCAGUAAAAUGUCAUUUAUACUUCUAACUUAAAAAUUUAGGCCAGACUUCUUACCGGAGUUCACAGAGUGAUAGUAAACUACUGUGUCUGAUAAGGAUGACAGUGACUAUGUUUACAUGGACAGCAAUGAUCUAAUUAUUGACCUUAUUCUGAAUAAGAUAAUAUUGUGAUUAAGGUGUUUACAUGAGUCGCUUUUAGAAUACACCCUUCAUGUUCCCGUGUUACAUGUUAUAGAACAUAGAUCGAUUAAUGGCACACGUCAUUGCGUCCCCACGCCACGCCGUCUGACGUUCCCUCCAGAAUUUCACGUAUCAACAUACAGUUCGUCUUUGUUAUGGUACCGUAUACAGUUUUGGGUGUUUAAUUUUUAAUUUCACGAAAGCUUCAAGUGCAGUUAAUUAUUUGUCAUGCUAUACGUGCUAAUAGACAACUGCUUGAAGCCAUGGACUGCGUCCCAAACCCCAUACUGACCUAUUAUAUAGUAGCUGAGAUACAUGUAUUUCACCUACUAUAUACAUGUAUUUCGCCUACAUGUUUACAUGCUAGUUUCUUAAUCAGAGUAUUGUCUUAAUCGGGUUAAUAUUGAAUUAUUGUUGUCCACGUAAACGUACUGAUUGAUUCAGCCUUUGAGAUGGCUGUUACAAAGAUUUGAACUAUGUAACGUCCUUGCUUGUAAACAGAUAACAGUACCACGCAGUGUCAAAAAAACAUAUAUGCAAGUCUUUGUGAGUGUGUGAUGGUGUAAAUAUGUUACUUGCAUAAUAUUAAACUCAUAGCUGUAAACUUAAUUUACUUGCUGGCUACAUUAGCCUUGUAGCUGUGGUAUAGAGGGCAUGCACGUGACGUCACUGCGGUCACGCCCACUGAGUGGCAAAAAGACUGAGUUGCAGCAUUAGUGUACAGUGUGAAUUCCAUGAAAACACAGAAAAAAAAUGCAUCUAAAAUGAGGAAAGAAUUGUUGUGCGAUCGACUGUGCUAAGAGAUGCAACAAGAAUUCAGAGCUCUCUUUUUACAGAGUGCCAAAAAACCAUUCACUCCUUUUUUAUUAAGUGGAGCAGUGGAAGUGUUAAUUGUUUUGGCAUGUGGUAUUCAUGUUGUACAAUGAUGAAUAAUUUGCUACAUAUUUCUUUUUAAACGCUGCCUAUUUCCACUGAUGAAUUUCGGGGGCUCAUUCAUUCUCUGACUGUGUUUUACCUUCACAGAUAUAUAACGUUAGGAAGCGGAAGCAGUGUUAGCUACAAACAAACUACAACUAGCUAGCUUACGGUUUACCAAAUAAAAUGAUAUAAUAAAACAAAAAUAUUUGUCCAUGCCUGUCCACAUACAACCAGAAUGUUUAUUGGUGUUCUUGUCACAUUAAUUUCGCCAACAAAUCUCGCCUUGAAGUAGGACCAAGCGUCAAGGCUUUUGUAUGCAUUCAGGCUUUGCUUAGUGUAUUUCCCCGGCGUCUAAAUCAGGUGUAUAUAAAUGUCGGGAAAACCGAUUUUUGGCCACAUGCCAAUGUCCAUGGACCACAUGUUCUUGGGCAAGUUGUAAGGGUCACUGUCGAGUCCAACUGCCUUUAAUUUAAGUCGAUAAUUAUUAGUUAUACUAGCGUUUUCACAGCUUCCACUAUUAAAACCAGCCAUUUUGCUGGAUGUUUUGCCACACAGUCCGGCCGAGGGGGCAUUGUUAAGCUCCCGCCAGCAGAUGGCACUGCGGCGUCGACUUGCACGUGCAACUUUAGGGAGCGCGCGUGCACGAGACUUUUGUAUGUGGACACGCGCCUUGGUUUGUUUUGGUUUUCCCCUUGUUUAAGCAAUGGUUCAUGUUUGAGGGGGUGUCUUGAUUUACUCCAGGUGUCUAUGAUUUAGUAUUGAUUGUGUUAGUCAUUUAAACCCCUCGUGUUGAUGUGCACAUCGCGCAGUCUUUACGUUACGUUAACUAAGAGUGUUUGUAUGGUGAAUGUGUUACGUAUGGUAAGCAUUCUUGUUUUCGUGUCCAGUUUCUGAUCCAUGCCUCGUAUCCAGUUUUCAUGUUUGAUCACCUGUUCCUGUCUGUUUCCUUGUUUCCUUGUUUAUUGAGUUAAGUUUCAAAUAAAGAAAUUGCUCCUGCACUUACUUCCUGUCUCCAAGUCCUGAUACAUUACAGAAUAUUGCGCCAAAACAUUUAAGUAGCAGGACAGCGCAUUGUCGGGAAGUUUCGGUAUUACUGGGACUUCCCGCGGCCGGAGGAGUACUACGCUUGGUAGUGGAAGCAGCAGGAGGAGUACUACUCUUGGCAGUGGAAGCAGUGGGAGGAUGAAAUAGAUCAGAUACUCCGCAACGUGGAGGAAGGGCUUCGCCCCGUCCCGUAGCACGGAACAACGCUCCACCUUCCUGCCCUGCUGAGAACCCAGUCACGCUGCCCAGUCCGGAACCGAAGGCUGCCCUAGAACAUUUUUUGGGGGGAUAACCGCAACUGCAGACCUCCCCGUAGGUCUCAGCUGUGGAACUCCCGCCUGAGGUCAACAUGGCGACCUCAGAGCUCCAGCUUGAGACCUACGGGGAGGUCUCAGCUGUGGAGAUCCCGCCUGAGGUCAACAUGGUGUCCUCAGAGCUCCAGCUUGCGACCUAUGGGGAGGUCUCAGCUGUGGAGCUCCAGCCCGCCGAGGAAGCUGUCCCGUUGUCCAGCCCUGCCGAGGAAGCUGUCCUGCUGCCCUGUCCUGCCAAGGAGGCUGUCCCGCUGUUCUGUCCAGCCGAGGAAGCUGUCCCGCUGUCCUACCCCGCUGGGGACGCCGACCAGCAUUCUUGUCCUGCCGAGGGUGUCGUCCAGCGUUCCAGUCCCAUUGAGGGCGUCAUCCAGCAUUCCAGUCCCACUGAGAACGUCGUCCAGCGUUCCAGUCCCGCUGGGGGCGUCGUCCAGCGUUCCAGUCCUGCUGGGGGUGGGGCUCCGCCUGUCGGCUAUCCGGUGGAGGCCACCCUAUUUUCCGAUACAUUGAGAGACAGAUCACACGGGGGUCCCGGACUGCCAUUGGAGGGGGGGGUGCUCGUUGGAGCUCCGGGAGAAAGCAUUGGUUGAUGUUCGAGGGUGUGUCUUAAUUUACUCCAGGUGUCUGUAUUUAGUUUGAGUAUGUUGGUUAUUUAAACCCCUCGUGUUGCUGUGCACUUCGCGCAGUAUUAUUCGUAUAUGUUUAUAGAUAUGCAUGAUAGAGGUCUUAUUUCCAUGUUUGUUCUCGUUCCAUGUCUAGACUUUAAGUUCCAUGUUUAACCCAGUUAUCCUUGUCCAGUUUAGACUGCGUUUCCUGUGUUUUGCCUGCUGUGUUGUUAAUAAAGACAUUGCUCCUGCGAUUACUUCCUGUAUAUAGUCCUGUGACGUUACAGACGUGUUCCAUUGGGAAAGUGACGUCAAUGCACACCCUCUAUAAUAUAAAAGAUUUAGACUCCAAACAUGUCUUAGCUAGUCAACGUCAUUUGGUAUAAGAAGAAAGGUUCAUACAUUUUGUUUUUUGGCCAGGCUAGUUUUAAAUGACAACAAUAAACAUUGUUAGCAUAAUGUGUUACCAUUUGAUAGAAAUAAAUAGCAUCACAAUAAAGCAACUGAUUGACUUACCAAAUGAAUGAAUGAAUGUUUUUUUAACAAGAUAUGCAAACAGAUUUCAGUCUCAAAUGAUUAUUUCUCAAAGAGAUAAACUAUGGAUUUGCCUCAGUUAUUUUAAUGGUUCUUGAAUGGAUCAGAUCAGUAAAACGUUGGAUCAGUGUUUAAUAUUUGGUGGGAAAAAAAAAAGUUCCAGGAGGUGCAGAGACUUUGGACCUGGUUAUACAAACACAUACACACCCACCCAUGGACACAUGCAUAAACGCACAAAGUAACACUUUGUGAUAAGUCUUCCACAUUUCUCUCUCUUGUAUGUGAACUUUACCCCUCUAGCCAGAGUGACUGACAGUCAUGUCAACAUGCUUAUCAGCAAUAAUGAAGAGCUCUGGAAAAAGCACCUCUGCAUGGAAAGAGGAAGCUGUGGCUGAGUGAGCAAUAACAUAGGGAAUAAGGAACAGGGAAUUUUCCUGUAAGGGUAACACUGUACAAUAAUGGUUCCUUAAUGAACACAUUAAAUUAACAUAUUAAUCAUUUAAUAAAGUAGAAAGCAUUGCUAAACAGUUCAGUGAUAAGUCUAUUAACUAACACGCUAAUAAUCCUUUUUGUAUUUUAACAUAACCUUAACGAUGACCCC